rnacentral:lncRNA from 1 species
CCGCCCGAACCCCACCGAACGCGUCCGCCGCCUCCCGAUCCCGCCCCGCGGUCCCCCCCGGGGCAUGAACCGCCCCCCGGCGGGCCGAAACCGGCAAAACCGGCUAAACCGCCCCGAUCAUGCCCAUUUUUCGGCGUUCAAACCGCCGCACGGCUACCCCCCCAUCCCGAUGCCCCCGGACCCCUGGUCCCGUGGGACCUGACGGAAACGGAAUCGGAUGCUCGGAUCAUGAGAUACGCCCAAAACCGUCUAAACCUACUGAGCGCACCCCGAACAUGCCCAUUUUUCGGCGUUCAAACCGCCGCGCGGCUACCCCCCCAUCCCGAUGCCCCCGGAACCCUGGUCCCGCGGGACCCGACGGAAACGGAAUCGGAGGCCCGGAUCAUGAGUUACGGCCCCUUCUUUGCGGCCCCCGAGGACGUGCGCUAUAGCCCCCCGGGCCACCCCCCAUCCGGCCGCACCCGCCCGAACCCCACCGAACGCGUCCGCCGCCUCCCGAUCCCGCCCCGCGGUCCCCCCCGGGGCAUGAACCGCCCCCCGGCGGGCCGAAACCGGCCAAACCGGCUAAACCGCCCCGAUCAUGCCCAUUUUUCGGCGUUCAAACCGCCGCACGGCUACCCCCCCAUCCCGAUGCCCCCGGACCCCUGGUCCCGUGGGACCUGACGGAAACGGAAUCGGAUGCUCGGAUCAUGAGAUACGCCCAAAACCGUCUAAACCUACUGAGCGCACCCCGAACAUACCCAUUUUUCGGCGUUCAAACCGCCGCGCGGCUACCCCCCCAUCCCGAUGCCCCCGGAACCCUGGUCCCGCGGGACCCGACGGAAACGGAAUCGGAGGCCCGGAUCAUGAGUUACGGCCCCUUCUUUGCGGCCCCCGAGGACGUGCGCUAUUGCCCCCCGGGCCACCCCCCAUCCGGCCGCACCCGCCCGAACCCCACCGAACGCGUCCGCCGCCUCCCGAUCCCGCCCCGCGGUCUCCCCCGGGGCGUGAACCGCCCCCCGGCGGGCCGAAACCGGCCAAACCGGCUAAACCGCCCCGAUCAUGCCCAUUUAUCGGCGUUCAAACCGCCGCACGGCUACCCCCUCAUCCCGAUGACCCCGGACCCCUGGUCCCGUGGGACCUGACGGAAACGGAAUCGGAUGCUCGGAUCAUGAGAUACGCCCAAAACCGUCUAAACCUACUGAGCGCACCCCGAACAUGCCCAUUUUUCGGCGUUCAAACCGCCGCGCGGCUACCCCCCCAUCCCGAUGCCCCCGGAACCCUGGUCCCGCGGGACCCGACGGAAACGGAAUCGGAGGCCCGGAUCAUGAGUUACGGCCCGUUCUUUGCGGCCCCCGAGGACGUGCGN